GAUGAACGCUGGCGGCGUGCCUAAUACAUGCAAGUCGAGCGAACAGACGAGGAGCUUGCUCCUCUGACGUUAGCGGCGGACGGGUGAGUAACACGUGGAUAACCUACCUAUAAGACUGGGAUAACUUCGGGAAACCGGAGCUAAUACCGGAUAAUAUAUUGAACCGCAUGGUUCAAUAGUGAAAGACGGUUUUGCUGUCACUUAUAGAUGGAUCCGCGCCGCAUUAGCUAGUUGGUAAGGUAACGGCUUACCAAGGCAACGAUGCGUAGCCGACCGGAGAGGGGGGUCGGCCGCAUUGGAGCUGAGACACGGUCCAGACUCCUAAGGGAGGCAGCAGUAGGGAAUCGUACGCAAUGGGCGGAAACCUGACGGAGCAACGCCGCGUGAGUGAUGAAGGUCUUGGGAUCGUAAAACUCUGUUAUUAGGGAAGAACAAAUGUGUAAGGAACUAUGCACGUCUUGACGGUACCUAAUCAGAAAGCCACGGUUAACUACGUG
rnacentral:rRNA from 1 species